GCUCCUGUGGCGGAAUUGGCAGACGCGGCAGACUUAAAAUCUGUUCUUUUUUUGUGGGUUCGACUCCCACCAGGAGCA
rnacentral:tRNA from 1 species